rnacentral:rRNA from 1 species
UACAGAGGGUGCGAGCGUUAAUCGGAAUUACUGGGCGUAAAGCGCACGUAGGCGGCUUUGCAAGUCAGGUGUGAAAUCCCCGGGCUUAACCUGGGAACUGCAUCUGAGACUGCAUGGCUAGAGUAUGGGAGAGGGAAGUGGAAUUUCAGGUGUAGCGGUGAAAUGCGUAGAUAUCUGAAGGAACAUCAGUGGCGAAAGCGACUUCCUGGACCAAUACUGACGCUCAUGUGCGAAAGCGUGGGGAGCAAACAGG